rnacentral:rRNA from 1 species
UACGUAGGGUGCGAGCGUUAAUCGGAAUUACUGGGCGUAAAGCGUGCGCAGGCGGUUGUGCAAGACAGAUGUGAAAUCCCCGGGCUCAACCUGGGAAUUGCAUUUGUGACUGCACGGCUAGAGUGUGUCAGAGGGGGGGUAGAAUUCCACGUGUAGCAGUGAAAUGCGUAGAGAUGCGGAGGAAUACCGAUGGCGAAGGCAGCCCCCCUGGGAUAACACUGACGCUCAUGCACGAAAGCGUGGGGGAGCAAACAGG